GAAAAAACUGCUGUGGAAAACUCGGCCAGAAGCUGUCAAGUGAAUCGACAACAUCACCACAAACGUUUUUUUCAAGCCAGAGAGUAAAGAGGAGGAAGACUGGAUAGGAAGAAGAGUAAAAGAGAGAGAGGAGGAAAGAUUGGAGAAGAAGAAGGAAAAAUUAAGGGAGUGAAAAGAGUGAAGCGAGGAGAGUGUGGAAGAGUGAGGUGGAAAGGAAGAAAGAUCAGGAAGACGAUUGGAGGAGAAUGAAAAAGUUGAGAGUAAGAAGAGUGACACAAGGAGAGUGAAGAAGAGCAGACAGAAGAGGUACAAUGGCUCUUUCCAAGAAACGGAAAUGGCAUUUUAAUGACAACAUGAUGAGAGAAUUUCCAUUUAUACGCUCAGGUCAAGACGAUAGAAUGGUGAACUGCACCCUUUGGAAUUCCUCUCUUUCAAUUGGCAUCCGGAGAAGAACGGCAGUGGUAGAACAUCAGCAGACGAAAAAGCAUAAAGCCUUUCUGAUUGGCCGUGUUGGUUUGCCCUCUGUCACCACAUUCUUCAAGAAGGUAGAGCCUUCACAAGAAGAAUAUGAUUUAGCUGUGCAGGAGGGUGUCUUUGCAUACCACACUAUGCAACACAAUCAUCGUUACAGAUCUAUGGACUGCACAGCACAACUGACACAAAAGCUUUAUGAGCCGAAGUUGACAUGUGCUAGGACAAAAUGUGACGCCACAGUGAGUAACGUGUUAGCACCAUGGGCAACUACUUUGGUAACACAGGACCUAGACCAGGUUGAAUUUGUGUCACUGUCCAUUGAUGCGUCCAAUCAUGGACAUGUAAAGCUGCUGCCAGUAGUAGUCGGAUAUUGUAAGAUAUAUGGUGGCAACACAUCUGUGGAAACAUGCUUGAUUUUGUUGAAUUGAAAGGAGAAACAGCAGAGGAGAUUGCAACUGAGGUCCUGGUGGUCAUCCAAAAAUGUAACCAGCAAAACAAAGUUGUGGCAUUCUCUGCCGACAACACACAUACCAACUUUGGAGGACUGAAUAGGCUGGGGAGGGUCAAUGUCCAUACCAAAGUUAAAAAUGCUCUGCAGCGGGAGGUGAUUGGCUUAGGUUGUCCUGCCCACAUCAUUCAUAACACGGCCAGAACA